GACGAACGCUGGCGGCGUGCCUAAUACAUGCAAGUUGAGCGAUGAAGAUUGGUGCUUGCACCUAUUUGAAGAGCAGCGAACGGGUGAGUAACGCGUGGUGAAUCUGCCUUUGAGCGGGGGACAACAUUUGGAAACGAAUGCUAAUACCGCAUAAUAACUUUAAACAUAAGUUUUAAGUUUGAAAGAUGCCAUUGCCUCACUCAAAGAUGAUCCUGCGUUGCAUUAGCUAGUUGGUGAGGUAAAGGCUCACCAAGGCGAGGAAUCAUAGGCGACCUGAGAGGGGGAGAGGCCAAAUUGGGAGAGAGAAAAGGCCCAAACUACUGAGGGAGGGAGCAGGAGGGAAAUAUCGGGAAUGGAAGAAAGGCUGACAGAGCAACGCCGCGUGAGGGAAGAAGGAUGUCGGAACGGAAAAGUCGGUUGGUAGAGAAGAACGUUGGGGAGAGUGGAAAGCUCAUCAAGUGAAGGUAAAUAAACAGAAAGGGACGGCUAACUACGUG
rnacentral:rRNA from 1 species